GUCCACGCCCUAAACGAUGCUGACUAGUUGUUCGGGAUUUACAUCCUGAGUAACGUAGCUAACGCGUGAAGUCAGCCGCCUGGGGAGUACGGUCGCAAGAUUAAAACUCAAAGGAAUUGACGGGGACCCGCACAAGCGGUGGAUGAUGUGGAUUAAUUCGAUGCAACGCGAAAAACCUUACCUACCCUUGACAUGUCACUAACGAAGUAGAGAUACAUUAGGUGCCCGUAAGGGAAAGUGAACACAGGUGCUGCAUGGCUGUCGU
rnacentral:rRNA from 1 species